GUAACCUGCCUGUAAGACUGGGAUAACUCCGGGAAACCGGGGCUAAUACCGGAUGCUUGUUUGAACCGCAUGGUUCAAACAUAAAAGGUGGCUUCGGCUACCACUUACAGAUGGACCCGCGGCGCAUUAGCUAGUUGGUGAGGUAAUGGCUCACCAAGGCAACGAUGCGUAGCCGACCUGAGAGGGUGAUCGGCCACACUGGGACUGAGACACGGCCCAGACUCCUACGGGAGGCAGCAGUAGGGAAUCUUCCGCAAUGGACGAAAGUCUGACGGAGCAACGCCGCGUGAGNUGAUGAAGGUUUUCGGAUCGUAAAGCUCUGUUGUUAGGGAAGAACAAGUGCCGUUCAAAUAGGGCGGCACCUUGACGGUACCUAACCAGAAAGCCACGGCUAACUACAGU
rnacentral:rRNA from 1 species